AGUAAUGCGUGACCAACCUCGCCCCAUGCUCCAGAAUAGCUCUUGGAAACGGGUGGUAAUGCUGGAUGCUCCAACUUGACGCAUGUCUUGUUGGAAAGUGUUUAGUGGCAUGGGAUGGGGUCGCGUCCUAUCAGCUUGUAGGCGGGGUAAUGGCCCACCUAGGCUUCGACGGGUAGCCGGCCUGAGAGGGCGGACGGCCACAUUGGGACUGAGAUACGGCCCAGACUCCUACGGGAGGCAGCAGAG
rnacentral:rRNA from 1 species